rnacentral:rRNA from 1 species
ACUCCUGCGGGAGGCAGCAGUGGGGAAUUUUGGACAAUGGGCGAAAGCCUGAUCCAGCAAUGCCGCGUGAGUGAAGAAGGCCUUCGGGUUGUAAAGCUCUUUUGUCAGGGAAGAAACGGUGAGAGCUAAUAUCUUUUGCUAAUGACGGUACCUGAAGAAUAAGCACCGGCUAACUACGUGCCAGCAGCCGCGGUAAUACGUAGGGUGCAAGCGUUAAUCGGAAUUACUGGGCGUAAAGCGUGCGCAGGCGGUUUUGUAAGUCUGAUGUGAAAUCCCCGGGCUCAACCUGGGAAUUGCAUUGGAGACUGCAAGGCUAGAAUCUGGCAGAGGGGGGUAGAAUUCCACGUGUAGCAGUGAAAUGCGUAGAUAUGUGGAGGAACACCGAUGGCGGAGGCAGCCCCCUGGGUCAAGAUUGACGCUCAUGCACGAAAGCGUGGGGAGCAAACAGGAUUAGAAACCCUUGUAGUCC